rnacentral:lncRNA from 1 species
CUGGCCUUGUUUUUUAAAGUGACUAAAAAUUUGCUGAAACUUUCUAUAGUUAAGAGUUUCAUUGUGCAUUCGUUCCAAGAACUAGUUUAAAAGAUCCGCAAACCAUCCCUGCAGCCCAUGUCAACGCUGUGCACAUCUUCCAGUGAGACUCCCACUCAUUUUACUUGACACAAUUUUCAGUCAAAACUGCGUGCUCCUCCAUCUUUCUCUUCUGUGCAAUAAUCACCACUACAGGAGCUGAGCUGCAGUACCUGCUGAUCAAAGGGGAAAUGGAUAAGGCAUGAUCUACUUCCGGCUGUUUGGGAAAAUCCAGGCUGCUCUCUCCAUCUUUCCAGUGUCAACAGGGGCAUUGACUAGAAACACUCUGACCGGCAUUGGGGCGAAGAUGUUAAAGGUCUGCAGCAUUCUCAUCUUCUGCACUCUGCUGACCCUGCCUCGAGACUCACAGGGCUACAGGCCGGAGCUGAUAAUCAGGGAGAAGACUACUAAGAAAGACUUGGCGUCCCACGUACUCCAUGGGCAAAGUCUGGCUGACGAGCAGCUGAGCGGAGACCCUGGAGGGCGGCUGCCAGGCGCUGGAGGCACACUCAUCGCAGGAAGCCAGCCAUCACUCCUCAGCAGCCUACUGUCUGCAGUGGGCAGGCUGUUAGGUGGGCAGGGAGCUGAGCAUCGAUCCAAUGUGCAAGGGGCUGGAGCAGUGUCUUCCUUUGGCGGGCGGGGGGUCAGAAAGGCCAGACCUUUACUCAGAAUGGAAGGUAGGAGGGCAGGACAGCCUGUCUAUGGGACACUGCUUGGCUCAAGAGGACAGGGAGAACGUCUGCCUUUGAUCAGAUGGCUGCUUGGGGGAGGCAGGGGAGUGACGUUACCUUUAACUGGGAAUAACCUUGGUGGUGUAGGUGGGGGUCUACUACACAGGGGAGGAGGUGUCCCAGUAAGUGGAGAUAGGGGAUUGCUUGGUGGGGAAGCAGGUGUAUCUACAUAUCAAGGUGCCUUAGGAGGGGGAGCAGGUGAUCCUAUAGUUGGAGAUGUUCCCAGUGGGGGAGGGGGUGUCCCUAUCAUUGGAGAUCCUCUCAGUGGG